rnacentral:rRNA from 1 species
CCUACGGGUGACAGCAGUAGGGAAUAUUGCUCAAUGGGGGAAACCCUGAAGCAGCAACGCCGCGUGGAGGAUGAAGGUUUUCGGAUUGUAAACUCCUUUUGUUAGAGAAGAUAAUGACGGUAUCUAACGAAUAAGCACCGGCUAACUCCGUGCCAGCAGCCGCGGUAAUACGGAGGGUGCAAGCGUUACUCGGAAUCACUGGGCGGAAAGAGCGCGUAGGCGGGAUAGCAAGUCAGAUGUGAAAUCCUAUGGCUUAACCAUAGAACUGCAUUUGAAACUGUUAUUCUAGAGUAUGGGAGAGGUAGGUGGAAUUCUUGGUGUAGGGGUAAAAUCCGUAGAGAUCAAGAAGAAUACUCAUUGCGAAGGCGACCUGCUAGAACAUAACUGACGCUGAUGCGCGAAAGCGUGGGGAGCAAACAGGAUUAGAUACCCCGGUAGUC